AUGUCCAUCAUCCUUUCCGGUCUUAUCCACAUCUUUCGACCGCUGCUGUCCUCCCUCUCUGGUGCACUCGACUGUAAGGGCUUGGGGCCAUGGUACUUCCUGCUAGGCCUCCGCAUCGUGGCCAUCUUCUUCUCCAACGGCCCAUGGGAUUCGGUGAGGGAGGACGUGGCCUGCAAUUUUGUGGCACCCAUAGAAGACAGGUCACGAUUCUUCUGUUUAGCAGUGUGCCACAACCAACGUUUCCCAGUGUCUAUAUCAAGCACAUGGGGGCUGGUGUUCCUCGCAUUGCUCCUUCUGGUGGGGCUCAUGAGGCUUACCCGCCCCAAGAAAAAGAAAAAGAAGGAAAAUGGCAGAGAGACCGAGAAGCGGGAUAAAGACAAAGGUUUAGCUAUUGUCGAAACUUCGCCUCCUGGAGCAGGGACAGACUUUUCCCAUGUCUACUGGGUCGGGCGCCGUGGUCUCCCUAGACGCUAUGGCAACAAUGCUUACCCGCAUCACCAUAUGCACCAUAUCCACCAUCCCCACUAUAGUGGUUGGCAUCAUUGGGACGAUUGGCCUGGGGCACCUUUGGCCCACACGGCUGGUGGACAUGGUGCUGAGAUUGGCGUUGUUCCUUGUGAUGCUGGAGGGUAUGGCAUGCCAGUCCAUGCUGAGCACAUGGGCCAGCCCAAAAUGCCUGACCACUGCUAUGCUAUGCCUGAGCCCCAAAUGGGCACAUGCCCCACAGACAAUAGGCGAAUGAAGAUGCCCACACAUUGCACGGGAACAGAUGAGUAUGGAAUGCACACACACCAAAGUCCCAUGAGGCAAAAUCAUGUUGCACCCCACAGUGGUGAAAAGGGGCAAUACAGUGCACCCACCAAGUGUAUCCCUGUUCCCAUUAACAGCUCACCUUAUAUAAGUAAAAUGCCUCCCCACUGCCAGACAAAUGAGGAACACGGCGAGACCAUCCAGCCUGAAGAAUAUGGAGCUGUCAAAUGUCCUGACUAUGCAUACAAUGCAGGCACACGUACAAGAUACACCAGCCAGGGCAAAACGGGCCCCAGGUACUGUGAAGAUGGCCAGUAUAGCAUGGCAUCCAAAUGCACACCAGACACUGAAGGGAGCAUGGAACAACUUGCUGUUCCCCCUCAGUUGGAUGACAACGCAAACAUGGCCAUCAAACGUAGGGCAGUUCAGGGAAAUAAGAUGCAUACCAAACACCACAGGAAUUUGGAUGCUGCUGGCAGAAGUGACAUGGGCUAUGGAAGCAACACAUGCACCCAACCAUGGAUGGCCGGUGAUUCUAAUUGCAGGCCCACUGGUGGGAAGAAUAUAAUGACGGGGCCUACUGUGGCUACAGUCUGUUGCCAUGACGAUGCAGCCUGCGCAUAUGCUGAUCCGUGUCAUAUGGCUCCUCAAUGCGAACCUCCAUGUGCACCCUGCUGUGAUGCAGAGUGCACUCAUGACAGACACAGGCAUCGAGAGACCCAUUCUGGGCCCCAAGAGAUUGCCAAGAGCUCCAUCACUAAUAUUUGUGGCAUACCGCUUUUUGAUAUCUGGGUGGGGCUUCUUCUAGCUAUGGAGAUUAGUUUCCUUUGUGUUGUGAUUCUCUUCCAGAUGCCCACUCUUUUAGGGAAAACAUGGAUAUGUUCCCCGGGAGCAGUCAGCUGCCCCCCAGUUGUUGAGUGUACGGUGAAAGCAAGGGCUGAAAAACGGGUUGCGCUUUGGGGGCUGGCUUUCACUGCCAUUCUUUUCAUAAUUGCCUGUAGUGGCUACUUUAAUCUUCGGUUCUGCUGGAAUAAGAGGUGUCGUCGAAUGUGUGGAGAAACAGAAGAAGCAAGUAAUGAAGAUUGUCCUGAAGACACAGAAGAGCAGGAUGGUGAAGAAGGUAGUGAUGAGGAGAAUAAGGAAGGAGUCUGA
ensembl:lncRNA